CACUCAACAGCUAGCCACCCAUCUAAUCACAACAGAUAAGUAUAAAUAACCCCUAAGACACCCCCGUUUUUAUAAACAAACCAUUUUUCCCCCUUAGUACGGGCGACAGAAAAGGACCUUCGAGCGAUAGACUAAGUACCGCAAGGGAACGCUGAAAGAGAAAUGAAAGAACCCCACGACGUUUAAAAAAGCAGAGAUUCAACUCGUACCUUUUGCAUCAUGUUUUAACCAGCAACACCCAAGCAAAGUGCCCUUUAGUUUGGGCCCCCGAAACUAAGCGAGCUACUCCAAGACAGCCUUCAUAAAGGGCAAACCCGUCUCUGUGGCAAAAGAGUGGGAAGAGCUUUGAGUAGAGGUGACAAGCCUACCGAGCUUAGUUAUAGCUGGUUCCCUGGGAAAUGGAUAGGAGUCCAACCCCCUAGGUUCUUUCACCCAUUUUGAUACUCAAGGCCCAAAGAUACUAGGUGAGCAAGUGGAAAGGGGAACAGCCCUUUCUACCAAAGACACAACUUUUAUAGGAGGAUAAAGAUCAUAAUAUUUUAAGGAAAAGUACUGUUGGUGGGCCUAAGAGCAGCCACCCCUAUAGAAAGCGUUAAAGCUCAAGUAUAGUACUACCCAUACAUCCCGAAAACUUAAUCUGAACCCCCUAAAGACUACCAGGGAGCCCUAUUCAUAUAGGAGCUAUACUGUUAAUAUGAGUAAUAAGAAAGUACCCUACAAGGCUUUCUCCUAGCACCCGUGUACAUCGGAACGAACCCCCACCGAAAAUCAACGGUCCCAACCCAAAGAGGGCACUGAAUAAAAACCAGAAAGACCAGAAAAAUAUUCAAUGCAUACCGUUAACCUCACACUAGAGUGCCCCCAAGGAAAGACUAAAAGAUGGGGAAGGAACUCGGCAAACACCCAAGCCUCGCCUGUUUACCAAAAACAUCGCCUCUUGUACCCUACAAAUAAGAGGUCCUGCCUGCCCUGUGACACAUAGUUUAACGGCCGCGGUAUUUUAACCGUGCGAAGGUAGCGUAAUCACUUGUCUUUUAAAUGAGGACCAGUAUGAAUGGCAAAACGAGGGCUUAACUGUCUCCCCCCUCCAGUCAAUGAAAUUGAUCUCCCCGUGAAGAAGCGGGGAUACACCCAUAAGACGAGAAGACCCUAUGGAGCUUUAGACACUAAGGCAGCUUACGUUAAAAAUCCUGCACCAAGGCCCUAAACUAAAUAAUUCCUGACCUGACGUCUUCGGUUGGGGCGACCGCGGGGGAAAGAAAAACCCCCACGUGGACUGGGAGUACCUCUCCUAUCACCCCGAGCUACCGCUCUAAUGUAUCAGAACCCUUCUGACCAUAAAUGAUCCGGCGCAAGCCGAUUAACGAAACAAGUUACCCUAGGGAUAACAGCGCAAUCCCCUUUUAGAGACCCUAUCGACAAGGGAGUUUACGACCUCGAUGUUGGAUCAGGACAUCCUAAUGGUGCACCCGCUAUUAAGGGUUCGUUUGUUCAACGAUUAAAGUCCUACGUGAUCUGAGUUCAGACCGGAGUAAUCCAGGUCGGUUUCUAUCUAUGAUGUGAUCUUUUCUAGUACGCAAGGACCGAAAAGAAGAGGCCCCUGUUACCAACACGCCCCUCUCUAACCUGAUGCCACCAACUUAAUCUGAUAAUAGAGCACAACACUUCCCCAAAAGAGAAUUGGAU
rnacentral:rRNA from 1 species